GACGCCGCGUGGAGGGAUGAAGGUCUUCGGAUUGUAAACUCCUGUCGAUUUGGGAACAAUGUACAGCGAUUAACUGUCGCUGUAUUGAUAGUACCAGAAGAGGAAGAGACGGCUAACUCUGUGCCAGCCACUGCGGUGACUGAGCGGGCUGGCAAGGCGCAUA
rnacentral:rRNA from 1 species